UCCCUGGUGGUCCAGUGGUUAGGAUUCAGUGCUUUCACUGUCAUGGUCUGGGUUCAAUCCCUGGUCUGGGAA
rnacentral:tRNA from 1 species